rnacentral:rRNA from 1 species
CCUACGGGAGACAGCAGUGGGGAAUAUUGCACAAUGGGGGAAACCCUGAUGCAGCGACGCCGCGUGAGUGAAGAAGUAACUCGUUAUGUAAAGCUCUAUCAGCAGGGAAGAAAAUGACGGUACCUGAGUAAGAAGCCCCGGCUAAAUACGUGCCAGCAGCCGCGGUAAUACGUAGGGGGCAAGCGUUAUCCGGAUUUACUGGGUGUAAAGGGAGCGUAGACGGCAGUGCAAGUCUGGAGUGAAAGGGUGGGGCUCAACCCCAGGACUGCUAUGGAAACUGUACGGCUGGAGUACAGGAGAGGUAGGUGGAAUUCCUGGUGUAGCGGUGAAAUGCGUAGAUAUUAGGAGGAACACCGAUGGCGAAGGCAGCUUACUAGACUGUAACUGACGUUGAGGCUCGAAAGCGUGGGGAGCAAACAGGAUUAGAUACCCCGGUAGUC